rnacentral:misc_RNA from 1 species
AGGUAAAUGAAUUUACGAGUUAUACAAUGCAAGUGAAAGUUCCAAUGGAUGAGAACAGAAGAAAGAGGUUGAUAAUGGAUAGUGGUCAACUUAAGAAUUCAUUUGCUAACGCAUUUAGAGUUUUGUGAAAAACUAAUUAUCAACUUCAUCACCAUGUGAGAUAAAAAUUGCUGCAAGAUUGUCAUGAUGGUGCUUAAUAAUUGAUUGAAAGUGGCAAUUUAGUUUCAAUGAGUACUGUUUUUGUUUAUAUUGGUCUAUGGUUUGAUGAUGAGUUUGCUUUAUUUGUGAAUUUUGAUCUCAUUCAUACUUGGUUCAAGACCAUUACCUUGGUUGUAAUCUUCAUUUUUAUUUAAUUUUUCAUUGUUGCUUACCUUAAAUAGUGAUGGUUUUCAUUUUUUUGACUUCUGUUUCAUGCAGCAUCAUUAAGGAACCUGUUAU